rnacentral:rRNA from 1 species
AGGAUAAACGCUGGCGGCGUGCCUAACACAUGCAAGUCGAACGUCUCUUCUUUCGGGAAGAGGAGUGGCGGACGGGUGAGGAACACGUGGGAACCUGCCCUUCAGUGAGGAAUACCGGCGAGAAAUCGCCGACAAGACCGCAUAGCCCUCUCUGGUGAGAGCCAGAGAAGGAAAGCCUCGCAAGAGGCGCUGGAGGAGGGGCCUGCGUCCGAUUAGCUAGUUGGUGCGGUAAGAGCCUACCAAGGCGUCGAUCGGUAGCUGGUCUGAGAGGACGAUCAGCCACACUGGGAUUGAGAACGGCCCAGACUCCUACGGGGGGCAGCAGUGAGGAAUUUUCGGCAAUGGGGGAAACCCUGACCGAGCAACGCCGCGUGCAGGAAGACGGCCUUCGGGUUGUAAACUGCUUUUCUUUGGGACGAGCAAGGACGGUACCAGAGGAAUCAGCCCCGGCUCACUACGUGCCAGCAGCCGC